GGCCGUACACCAUGGUCAAGACAAUAAACUAUUAUAAAAUCGCACCUUGGUAACAUAUCAGUCAGCAUUUGAACUGCUAUGUGCAUGAGUUUGUAUUCUUUUUUUAUAUAUAUGUAUCAUUAAAUUAUUCAAGUCAGUUCAAACGCAAUGCCAGCAUUUAAAGUUGUAAUCCAGCAAGGUCGCAGCAAAACAAUAUGGCCAAAGUCUUGGCUAAGCCUGAGGCUACAUCACCCGGCUCCGGGGUUUUAUAUUGUAUCCUUCAGUACAAUAUAAAAUAUAAAGACAAAUAUGAGCAGAGCAAUGCUGGCUCCAGAACUUUUUAAAAUCCUGUCAGGAUGGCAGUUGUCCUCUCGCACCGUUGCUAUGCGACGAAGCGGCAAUCAACACCUGGUGGCGCAUGGAAAUCCUCCAAAGGCGGAGCGUCUUAUGCACUUCGAAGUGUCCUUUGUGCACAAGUCCGCACACUUCGGAUUCCGCGCUUCACUUUGGGACACAGCUAGUGAAUCUCGCGUAGUAAUCAAAUGGAACAGGUGAUUUGCCUUUUAAUUACGCGUUAAUUUAUGGAACGUGCGAGUGCUUAAAGCAGCGCAGUACCGCGCGGUAUUUAAUAGACGCAUCACAUGCUUCACGAGCAUGUGCUACAAUGGAAUUUUGGAAAAUAUGGGGAAGGUUGUUAAUUAUACAAAGUUUUUUCACAUGCAUUACUUUAAUACACUGCAGAAAUCUGCUACGGUUUUCUGGAACGGAAAAAACGAACAAUGAAGGUGGCGAAGAUAUUUCAGAAAAAAAUAUAUCAGACCACAAGGGAUAUUUUGAGCCCUUAGCUGAUUUUGACCAUCUUGGUGAUAACGCCGGAGUUUCAGGUCUUCAGAAAAAAUCAUUAAUUAAAGGACAGCUACUCAGUUCUUCUGAAGCAGCCUGGGAUGCCAUGUCUCCAAAGUUGAGGUGUGGUGACGAUCUCGUGAAGUUACAGCUCAGUGGUCCAGAAGUAGCAAAUGUUGAACUCUGUCGAGGUAAUGGGGUGCCUGUUCCUCUCACUCAGUUGCCACCUCACUGUGGACACACAGCACUCACUUAUGCAGGUCUUGUCUAUGCUACUCCCUAUGAUGGAUGUGGUGUUGUGCAACAGGGAGGGUAUUAUGUGAUGCAGAUACAGUGGCAGGGAAACUCUGCAGUCAUUACUUGUCCUAUGACCUCUACCAUUGCAAAUGAAACCUUCCUGGGACCUCAUCCUCCUAAAUAUCUGCACAUUUUGCUGCCUCCCUUCUCUCCUGAUACACAAAGUCCAGAUGCACCUGCAAUGCCACAAGUGUCUGAUACUGCAACACUGAAGCCACCACCUCUUGUGUACCCUCAAGUGUAUCCACAAGGGUUUUGGCCUUUCCCUCAUUAUCUUUAUCCUGGAAGGGUUUAUGCCACAGCUAAACAAACGGAGAAACCUGUUACAACUACUCUAGUUUCCCAAGCACCAACUGGAGAACCUCAACCUCCCAAAUACCCCGAGAUGUCUUGGCCACACUACCAUCCUGAUUACCUCUAUCAUGGCAGACCAAAACCCACUUUGAAACCUGUUCCCGCCUCUGGCUCUGACACUGAAUCGGAUGCACCACAUGAAAAGCCUCAACCUCCGAAGUGCCCCCCGCAGCUUUGGCCCUAGCCUGGUUGGCAGCAUCCUGGUUACCCUUCUGGUGACCCAAAACCCGUUCCCGACUCCGGCUCUGACACUGAAUCGGCUGCACCAGGUCAAAAGCCUCACCCUCCCACGUGCCCCCAGCCGCCUUGGCCUUAUCCUGGCUCCCCUUCUGGUGACCCACAACCUGUUCCAGCUUGUGGCUCUGCCACUGAAUCGGAUACACCAGCUGAAAAGCCUCAACCUCCCAAACACCCCCAGAAGCCUGCGCCUUAACCUGGCUACCCUUCUGGCGCCCCAAAACCUGUUCCAGCUUAUGGCUCUGACACUGAAUUGGAUGCACCAGCUGAAAAGCCUCGUCCUCCCAAAUACCCCCAGACGCCUUGGCCUUAUCCUAGCUACCCUUCUGGUGACACAAAACCUGUUCCAGCUUCUGCCUCUGACACUGAAUCGGAUUCACCAGGUGAAAAGCCUCGGCCUCCCAAAUACCCCCAGACGCCUUGGCCUGAUCCUGGCUACCCUUCUGUUGACCCAACACCUGCUCCAGCCUCUGGCUCUGUAUCGCAUGCACCAGGCGAAGAGCCUCACCCUCCCACAUCCCCCAGAAGCCUUGGCCUUCUCCUGCCUACCCUUCUGUUGACCCAACACCUGCUCCAGCCUCUGGCUCUGAAUCGCAUGCACCAGGUGACAAGCCUCACCCUCCCACGUGCCCCCAGCCGCCUUGGCCGUAUCCUGGCUACCCUUCUCGCGACCCCAACCCUGCUCCCGCCUCUGGCCCUGAAUCGGAUGCACCAGCUGCACAGCCUCACCCUCCCAAAUGCCCCCAGAAGGCUUGGCCUAAUCCUGGCUACGCUUCUGGUGACCCAAACCCUGUUCCAGCCUCUGGCUCUGUAUCGCAUGCACCAGGCGAAGAGCCUCACCCUCCCACAUACCCCCAGGAGCCUUGGCCUUAUCCUGGCUACCCUUCUGCUGACCCAAAGCCUGUUCCAGCUUCUGGCUCUGGCUCUGAAUCGGAUGCACCACAUGAAAAGCCUCAACCUCCGAAGUGCCCCCCGCAGCUUUGGCCCUAGCCUGGUUGGCAGCAUCCUGCCUCCCCU
ensembl:lncRNA